CUAGAAACCGGCGGAGAUGGUGAAAGAAGCUGAAGAGACACACAGGAACAGCCCUGAUUUUGAAAGCAACAAGGAAGACAACUCACCAAUGUCUUUUAAGAAAGAGUUUCUCUUAAGACACAACACGGAGAAAGAAGUAGAAGGAUGCUCUUCACGUGACGUUCACCCCAGAGAGAGAUCUUUAUGGGCGGGUCUAAGCCGUCUUCCCUUCCGGCGCCUCCUGGGCCCUUUCCCUGCCGUCGAAGGACCCGAGGACUUGAGCUGCUGGCUCUCACAGAUGCAAGGCACACGGAACCAUCUGCUGUCAGGAUUGUUUAAAAACACACAGAGAUUGCACCGUCGCUGCACAGCUUCUCUCAAGAACCUUAGCAAGAAUCAGAAAGCGGUUUCAGUUCCUGGUCCCUCGAUGCUGAGUCCACGCCUCUCCUCUGCCCUGACUGCUACGCUGCGGAUCAAACAGCCAUGA
rnacentral:lncRNA from 1 species